rnacentral:rRNA from 1 species
GAUGAACGCUGGCGGCGUGCCUAAUACAUGCAAGUCGAGCGAACAGAUGAGGAGCUUGCUCCUCUGACGUUAGCGGCGGACGGGUGAGUAACACGUGGAUAACCUACCUAUAAGACUGGGAUAACUUCGGGAAACCGGAGCUAAUACCGGAUGAUAUUUUGAACCGCAUGGUUCAAUAGUGAAAGACGGUUUUGCUGUCACUUAUAGAUGGAUCCGCGCCGCAUUAGCUAGUUGGUAAGGUAACGGCUUACCAAGGCAACGAUGCAUAGCCGACCUGAGAGGGUGAUCGGCCACACUGGAACUGAGACACGGUCCAGACUCCUACGGGAGGCAGCAGUAGGGAAUCUUCCGCAAUGGGCGAAAGCCUGACGGAGCAACGCCGCGUGAGUGAUGAAGGUCUUCGGAUCGUAAAACUCUGUUAUUAGGGAAGAACAUAUGUGUAAGUAACUAUGCACGUCUUGACGGUACCUAAUCAGAAAGCCACGGCUAACUACGUG